GGCUUUGUAGCUCAGUGGUUAGAGCACUGGCCUUGCAAACCAGGGGUUGUGAGUUCAAGUCUCACUGGGGUCU